GAUGAACGCUGGCGGCGUGCCUAAUACAUGCAAGUCGAACGAAGGUAGCAAUACCUUAGUGGCGAACGGGCGAGUAACACGUAGGUAACCUGCCUUUCAGUUGGGGAUAACCGAGGGAAACUUUGGCUAAUACCGAAUUCGUGCUUCGAAGGCAUCUUCGGAGCAUAAAGGGGCCUUUAAAGCCUCGCUGAUUGAUGGACCUGCGGCGCAUUAGUUAGUUGGUGAGAUAACAGCCCACCAAGACGAGGAUGCGUAGCCGACCUGAGAGGGUGAUCGGCCACACUGGAACUGAGACACGGUCCAGACUCCUACGGGAGGCAGCAGUAGGGAGUUUUCGGCAAUGGGGGAAACCCUGACCGAGCAACGCCGCGUGAGUGAUGAAGGUCUUCGGAUUGUAAAGCUCUGUUAUAAGGGAAGAACGGCAGCUAGAGGAAAUGCUAGCUGUUUGACGGUACUUUAUGAGAAAGCCACGGCUAACUACGUG
rnacentral:rRNA from 1 species